rnacentral:rRNA from 1 species
AGAGUUUGAUCCUGGCUCAGAACGAACGCUGGCGGCGCGUUUUAAGCAUGCAAGUCGGACGGCAAGCACUGUAGCAAUAUGGUGCCUAGAGUGGCGAACGGGUGAGUAACACGUAGGUGAUCUACCUCUGGAUGGGGGAUAGCCCGUGGAAACACGGGGUAAUACCGCAUGAGGCCUUGUGGGUAAAGCCAUGAGGUGAAAGGUGCAAUUGCACCGUCUGGGGAUGAGCCUGCGGUCCAUUAGGCAGUUGGCGGGGUAAGAGCCCACCAAACCGACGAUGGAUAGCCGGCCUGAGAGGGUGUACGGCCACACUGGAACUGAGACACGGUCCAGACUCCUACGGGAGGCAGCAGCUAAGAAUCUUCCGCAAUGGGGGAAACCCUGACGGAGCGACGCCGCGUGGAUAGGCAGUGGAGUGGAAAGCCGCUGUGAUGACGUUAGCCGACGAAUAAGCCCCGGCUAAUUACGUGCCAGCAGCCGCGGUAAUACGUAUGGGGCAAGCGUUGUUCGGAGUUAUUGGGCGUAAAGGGCGUGUAGGCGGCUCAUCAAGUCUGGUGUGAAAUCGCGGGGCUUAACCCUGCAUAUGCGCUGGAAACUGGUGGGCUUGAGUUCUUGAGGGGAAGCUGGAAUUCCAGGUGUAGGGGUGAAAUCUGUAGAUAUCUGGAAGAACACCGGUGGCGAAGGCGAGCUUCUAUCAGAGGACUGACGCUGAGGCGCGAAAGCGUGGGGAGCAAACAGGAUUAGAUACCCUGGUAGUCCACGCUGUAAACGAUGUGCACUAGGCGUGGGGCGCAUGUGGUUUAAUUCGAUGGUACACGAGGAACCUUACCAGGGCUUGACAUGUGCGUGAAUGUUCACGAGAGUGGGCAGCCCCGCAAGGGGCGCGCACACAGGUGCUGCAUGGCUGUCGUCAGCUCGUGUCGUGAGAUGUUGGGUUAAGUCCCGCAACGAGCGCAACCCUUACCGUCUGUUGCCAACAGGUUGUGCUGGGCACUCGGACGGAACUGCCGGUGACAAACCGGAGGAAGGUGGGGAUGACGUCAAGUCAUCAUGGCCCUUAUGUCCUGGGCUACACACGUGCUACAAUGGUCGGUACAAAGCGAGGCGAAACGGCGACGUGGAGCAAAUCGCAGAAAGCCGAUCUCAGUGCGGAUUGGAGUCUGAAACCCGACUCCAUGAAGUUGGAAUCGCUAGUAAUCGCGCAUCAGCAUGGCGCGGUGAAUACGUUCCCGGGCCUUGUACACACCGCCCGUCACACCACCCGAGUUGGGGGUACCCGAAGUCAGUUGCCUAACCGCAAGGGGGGCGCUGCCGAAGGUAUGCCUGGUGAGGGGGGUGAAGUCGUAACAAGGUAGCCGUACCGGAAGGUGCGGCUG